UGGAAAUAGUAAACAUUUUUGGAGACAAAAUAAUUACCUUUUGUGAACAUGAAGUUUAACCCUUAGAUAUUAUUUUGAAUUGCAGGAGUGGCUGCAGGAUUAUAUUCAGGUCUAACAUAUGGGUUGAAGGAGGCUCGCGGAGCUCAUGACUGGUCCUUUUUGUGGAUCCUUAUAAAUGAACACUUCAUGCAUCAAUGCAUGAUUUUAAUGGAUGUGGCAGAACAAUUUCGCUCGGGUAUAUGUUACUUCUGUCCAUUUUAAUGUGCUGCUGUUUCGAUCUUGUCAAUUACAUGGUCCCUUCUUGUGCAGCUGUUUCGAAUUAGGAUUGCUCGGGAAAAUCUUGGUCGCAUUCGUAAGACUCUCGCUGACUUCACCAGCUUGAAUCACUGAGUAGUUAACAUACUACUUCUGUCGGGUGGACUCCAUCAAUGCUUUCGAGCCUGAUGGUUACAAAUCCUCUUGAUUAUGUUGAACCUUUGGGAAAAGCUUGUGCUUCUGGGUUUACACUAAAUAAAG